GUAGGGAAUCUUCCACAAUGGACGAAAGUCUGAUGGAGCAACGCCGCGUGAGUGAAGAAGGUCUUCGGAUCGUAAAACUCUGUUGUUAGAGAAGAACGUGCAUGAUAGUAACUGAUCAUGUAAUGACGGUAUCUAACCAGAAAGCCACGGCUAACUACGUGCCAGCAGCCGCGGUAAUACGUAGGUGGCAAGCGUUGUCCGGAUUUAUUGGGCGUAAAGGGAACGCAGGCGGUUUUUUAAGUCUGAUGUGAAAGCCUUCGGCUUAACCGAAGAAUAGCAUUGGAAACUGAAAGACUUGAGUGCAGAAGAGGAGAGUGGAAUUCCAUGUGUAGCGGUGAAAUGCGUAGAUAUAUGGAGGAACACCAGUGGCGAAAGCGGCUCUCUGGUCUGUAACUGACGCUGAGAUGCGAAAGCCAGGGUAGCGAACGGGAUUAGAAACCCUUGUAGUCC
rnacentral:rRNA from 1 species